rnacentral:rRNA from 1 species
ACAAGCGGUGGAUGAUGUGGAUUAAUUCGAUGCAACGCGAAAACCUUACCUACCUUGACAUGUCCGGAAUCCCGAAGAGAUUUGGGAGUGCUCGCAAGAGAACCGGAACACAGGUGCUGCAUGGCUGUCGUCAGCUCGUGUCGUGAGAUGUUGGGUUAAGUCCCGCAACGAGCGCAACCCUUGUCAUUAGUUGCCAUCAUUUGGUUGGGCACUCUAAUGAGACUGCCGGUGACAAACCGGAGGAAGGUGGGGAUGACGUCAAGUCCUCAUGGCCCUUAUGGGUAGGGCUUCACACGUCAUACAAUGGUCGGUACAGAGGGUUGCCAACCCGCGAGGGGGAGCUAAUCCCACAAAGCCGAUCGUAGUCCGGAUCGCAGUCUGCAACUCGACUGCGUGAAGUCGGAAUCGCUAGUAAUCGUGGAUCAGCAUGUCACGGUGAAUACGUUCCCGGGUCUU